CGGGAGGCAGCAGUGGGGAAUAUUGGACAAUGGGCGCAAGCCUGAUCCAGCCAUGCCGCGUGUGUGAAGAAGGUCUUCGGAUUGUAAAGCACUUUAAGUUGGGAGGAAGGGUUGUAGCCUAAUACGCUGCAACUUUGACGUUACCGACAGAAUAAGCACCGGCUAACUCUGUGCCAGCAGCCGCGGUAAUACAGAGGGUGCAAGCGUUAAUCGGAAUUACUGGGCGUAAAGCGCGCGUAGGUGGCGAAGUAAGAUGGGUGUGAAAUCCCCGGGCUCAACCUGGGAACUGCAUCCAUAACUGCUUGGCUAGAGUACGGUAGAGGGUAGUGGAAUUUCCUGUGUAGCGGUGAAAUGCGUAGAUAUAGGAAGGAACACCAGUGGCGAAGGCGACUACCUGGACUGAUACUGACACUGAGGUGCGAAAGCGUGGGGAGCAAACAGGAUUAGAUACCCUGGUAGUCCACGCCGUAAACGAUGUCAACUAGCCGUUGGGAACCUUGAGUUCUUAGUGGCGCAGCUAACGCACUAAGUUGACCGCCUGGGGAGUACGGUCGCAAGAUUAAAACUCAAAUGAAUUGACGGGGACCCGCACAAAAGGG
rnacentral:rRNA from 1 species